rnacentral:rRNA from 1 species
AAGCACGUAGGUGGGUUUGUAAGUCAGACGUGAAAGCCUUCUGUUCAACGGAAGAAUUGCAUCUGAAACUACAAACCUUGAGUGUAGGAGGGGAGAAUGGAACUUCUGGUGGAGCGGUGAAGUGCGUAGAUAUCAGAAGGAACGCCGGCGGCGAAAGCGAUUCUCUGGCCUAUUACUGACACUCAGUGUGCGAAAGCUAGGGGAGCAAACGGGAUUAGAUACCCCGGUAGUCCUAGCCGUAAACGAUGGGCACUAAGUAGAGGGGU